GACGAACGCUGGCGGCGUGCUUAACACAUGCAAGUCGAACGGAAGGGCCCUGCUUUUGUGGGGUGCUCGAGUGGCGAACGGGUGAGUAACACGUGAGUAACCUGCCCUUGACUUUGGGAUAACUUCAGGAAACUGGGGCUAAUACCGGAUAGGAGCUCCUGCUGCAUGGUGGGGGUUGGAAAGUUUCGGCGGUUGGGAUGGACUCGCGGCUUAUCAGCUUGUUGGUGGGGUAGUGGCUUACCAAGGCUUUGACGGGUAGCCGGCCUGAGAGGGUGACCGGCCACAUUGGGACUGAGAUACGGCCCAGACUCCUACGGGAGGCAGCAGUGGGGAAUAUUGCACAAUGGGCGGAAGCCUGAUGCAGCAACGCCGCGUGCGGGAUGACGGCCUUCGGGUUGUAAACCGCUUUCGCCUGUGACGAAGCGUGAGUGACGGUAAUGGGUAAAGAAGCACCGGCUAACUACGUG
rnacentral:rRNA from 1 species